UCAAGACCUGGCACAACCAAAUAAAUCAGUACAAGAAAAGGAGACUCACAUGAGUGAUCAUACAAGAUCAUACAAACAAGAGGAAAUGUACUGAUGUUUACCUACGUUCCUCAUUCUGAAGGAGUCUUAUAUUGCUAAUGUGGAUAUAUUCUAGUUAUUCUUCCAAGGAGUUUUGUCUGAAAUUCAAUGAUAUCCAUCUCAAUUCUUCUCCUGCCGUCAUUUCAUUGGACUGUGAUCUUCACAGAGAUUCAAACUGAGACUGUUCAGCUCUAAGGAUACAUUUCUUUCAUUGUGGAAUAAGCUACGUGAGUCCACACACUGCUGUGUGAAAUGUCAGGGUGCUGGAUCCACAGACUGCGGAGCCAGCAGAAACAUCAUGCACAGGGGCUUGGAUUGAGAGAGAGGUGGUGGCGUACUCUGGGUCACCUGCUCUCACAACUCGCUUGUACCUCUGCCCUGUCUGAGUGCGGUGUCUCACAUACUUUCCUAUCCGGUGGUAGAGCGUUGCUGUACACACCCAUACAUACAAGUAGGUGGGUCAGAUUGCAGUGGUUUAGGGUGAAUGCCCAGCUCACACAGUCACCUGAGUGUCCAUAGCUAAGUAUUCAUUUUCUGUAAGGCUAGAAACUGUUUCUCAAAAAGGAAACAUUUACAGAGGAGCGUCCAGAUUUGUUCUGGAAUCUGAGAGGUAUGUGCAGUGAUUCUAGUACAAAGCCCUAUUUACCAUAGAUGCUUGGAGUGACCUUGGCACUGCUGGAGGUUCGGAGCAGCCCCAUGCAGCCUGAACUUGCCACAGAGCCUCCGCCUGCUCCGGAACCGACACAGAAUGGGCAGCCUGUGGCUAUCUCUGCCUCGGUCAAAGUGCUUCAUGAUAAUGGCACAUUUUGCCACUACACUAUCUUGAUGUUUAGAAAAAAUUUGGAAGUGUGCAUUUCCAGAAAAUGUACAGAACAUUUUCUGUACAUGAAAGGGCAACAUUAAAAAACCCACAGUUUGUCUUUCAAAUAAUGCCCAAAUA